AGUCGAGGGGUAUAGUAGCAAUACUAGAGACCGGCGCACGGGUGCGUAACGCGUAUGCAAUCUACCUUUUGCAGAGGGAUAGCCCAGAGAAAUUUGGAUUAAUACCUCAUAGUAUAACGACUCGGCAUCGAGAUGUUAUUAAAGUCACAACGGCAAAAGAUGAGCAUGCGUCCCAUUAGUUAGUUGGUAAGGUAACGGCUUACCAAGACUACGAUGGGUAGGGGUCCUGAGAGGGAGAUCCCCCACACUGGUACUGAGACACGGACCAGACUCCUACGGGAGGCAGCAGUGAGGAAUAUUGGACAAUGGGCGCAAGCCUGAUCCAGCCAUGCCGCGUGCAGGAUGACGGUCCUAUGGAUUGUAAACUGCUUUUGCACAGGAAGAAACAACGCUACGUGUAGCGUCUUGACGGUACUGUGAGAAUAAGGAUCGGCUAACUCCGUGCCAGCAGCCGCGGUAAUACGGAGGAUCCAAGCGUUAUCCGGAAUCAUUGGGUUUAAAGGGUCCGUAGGCGGUCUUAUAAGUCAGUGGUGAAAUCUCCCCGCUCAACGGGGAAACGGCCAUUGAUACUGUAGGACUUGAAUUAUUAGGAAGUAACUAGAAUAUGUAGUGUAGCGGUGAAAUGCUUAGAGAUUACAUGGAAUACCAAUUGCGAAGGCAGGUUACUACUAAUGGAUUGACGCUGAUGGACGAAAGCGUGGGUAGCGAACAGGAUUAGAUACCCUGGUAGUCCACGCCGUAAACGAUGGAUACUAGCUGUUGGGCGCAAGUUCAGUGGCUAAGCGAAAGUGAUAAGUAUCCCACCU
rnacentral:rRNA from 1 species